GAUGAACGCUGGCGGCGUGCUUAACACAUGCAAGUCGAACGGAAAGGCCCAAGCUUGCUUGGGUACUCGAGUGGCGAACGGGUGAGUAACACGUGGGUGAUCUGCCCUGCACUUCGGGAUAAGCCUGGGAAACUGGGUCUAAUACCGGAUAGGACGAUGGUUUGGAUGCCAUUGUUGAAAGUUUUUUCGGUGUGGGAUGAGCUCGCGGCCUAUCAGCGUGUUGGUGGGGUAAUGGCCUACCAAGGCGUCGACGGGUAGCCGGCCUGAGAGGGUGUAGGGACACACUAGACCUGAGCGACGGCCCAGACUCCUGAGGGAGGCAGCAGGGGGGAAUAUUGCACAAAGGGAGCAAGCGUGAGGCAGCGACGCCGCGUGGGGGAUGAGGGCCUUCGGGUUGUAAGAUCCUUUCGCUGGGGACGAAGCGUUUUUGUGACGGUACCUGGAGAAGAAGCACCGGCUAACUACGUG
rnacentral:rRNA from 1 species